UGUAAUCUAAUUCCAGAAUGUAUACGCAUCAAUGACGAUGAAAUUUGCGGAUGCCCUCCAUGUAAGUAUAAACUGUAUGAUAUUGUUUUAAUACAAUUAAAAUAUAUAAAUUUUUUAUUUAAUUUUUCUUUUGCGCAAAAUUUAAGAUAACAACAGUGCCAUGCACCACCAUUCAAUGAUUAUUCCUUGUGCAUGUCGCCGUUGUUUUGGUCGUAAUUAAUUAGUAAUGUCCUCCAUACAACAGUUCAU